ensembl:lncRNA
UCAUAUAUAUUCUAUNUCCCAUUUUUAUGUUUAAUGCAGGCAGGUUGUGAAGGUUGUAAGUUUUAUAAUAUACCGUGCAUCGAAAACUAAAAUUAAUCUGUGGCCAUUGUUAUUUAAAUGUCCGGAAAAUGUGUUUUAGUUAGGUUAUUUGUUUCCCCAGUUUUUUUUUUUUUUUUGAAGUUGUUUUCAUUUAUUUAGUUUUUGUUAACAGUAGCACUCAAUAUCACUGGGGCUAUUCCUUUAAGAAUAGAUUCAGCUGGUCUUAGAUCAGAGGAAAAGAGGGGAUUUUAUCCUGAAUAAUGGUCCUGACAGACUGCUUUUCUUCCCAGGGAGUGCAGUCAUGGCCACUGAAGCGUGCUGUGUUCACCCCCUCAUCGUCUGGCACUUUUUCCCUCCAUCGUUCUAGAGGAAACAGAAUAAAGAAGGGAAGGCGAAGCCAGCUAGAGAAACCAAGCGUGAAGAUGUCCAGAAACUGCUGGCACUGUGGAACACUCGGCAGUUCGGCCUGAUAAAACCCUUCCCAAAGAGUGGAG